rnacentral:rRNA from 1 species
AUAACGGCGUCGAGCGGCGGACGGGUGAGUAAUGCCUAGGAAAUUGCCCUGAUGUGGGGGAUAACCAUUGGAAACGAUGGCUAAUACCGCAUAAUACCUACGGGUCAAAGAGGGGGACCUUCGGGCCUCUCGCGUCAGGAUAUGCCUAGGUGGGAUUAGCUAGUUGGUGAGGUAAUGGCUCACCAAGGCGACGAUCCCUACCUGGUCUGAGAGGAUGAUCACCCACACUGGAACUGAGACACGGUCCAGACUCCUACGGGAGGCAGCAGUGGGGAAUAUUGCACAAUGGGCGCAAGCCUGAUGCAGCCAUGCCGCGUGUGUGAAGAAGGCCUUCGGGUUGUAAAGCACUUUCAGUCGUGAAGAAGGUGGUGUAUUUAAUAGCUGCAUUAUUUGACGUUAGCGACAGAAGAAGCACCGGCUAACUCCGU